GGCUGGUCCGAGGGUAGUGAGCAAUUUCACUUGAUUAUUCACAGUCAGUUACAGAUUGAACUCCUUGGUCUACUACUUGCCCCCUUCUCACUACUGCACUUGACUAGUUUUUA
rnacentral:Y_RNA from 1 species